rnacentral:lncRNA from 1 species
GCGCCAGGGAGCAUCCAUAAAUUGUCACUUUGAAGGUCCGAACCUGCGGCGGUAGGGACCAUGCCCACUAUUCUAAUAGCAAUUACUCCGCGCAGCCUUGGAUCUUUUGUGCAAGGACGUGCGGGUACAAAUACAUUAAAACGGCCAGUUCACAUUGCCCACCCUGCUUGUGUUUGCAUAGUUAACUUAGCUUCCUAGUUUAUGGAAAACUACCUCCUGUAGAUCCUUAAAAACAAAGCAAACAAACGACACAGCGGCAUUCUGGCCUCUCCUAACUAACUCUUUAAGGCUCUGAAUUUCCUGAGAACAAGUAGCCAUUUGGUCCCACUCCUGCUUAUGGGUACAGCUGGGUAGACUUUCUUUCUAUGUGGCCUCUUUUGUAGGAGAGAACAUGAGCAAUAUUGACAUUAAGAAGGCAUCUGGUCACCUGUUUUUUUUUGAGAAGCAGAAAUAGGAGAGAGCUCCAUGGGGCAGGAGCAAGCCCUCUUUUGCCAGAUGCAGACACUUAGUGUGCUGGGCAGAGGCCUCCCAGGAUACCUGGAGCGAUGGCCAGGGGGAUGGAGCUCUCCCUGCUCCUGCUUUGCCCAGCCUUUGGCUAGGCCUACCUUUUGCUACCAUGGGGCCCCUGGGGCUGCCCUCAGAGGACCUACAUAGUUUCAAAGUUCGUCCUGAGGCUGUUUGCUCCUGCCUUCCAAGGGACAUUCCUGGUUUUCACCUGAGCCAACUGCCCCUUUAGAACCAAAAGAACACAUAGUAGCUAGAAUUGGAGGUGGCGUAAGCACAGGCACUAGUUCUUAAGGGUUUAUCUCUGGGCCACUUAGCCAAGUCCAAAGCAUCCAGAUAAGAAUGCCCAUCUGAGUCCGACCCGCCAAGGCUGUGAAAAUUCCCUUGCAGAAUCACUAGGCAGUUUGCUGAAAUGGCCAGUCUAGGCCGCAGGGGUAGAAGUGGGAUGGGGGCUCAGACUGGUGACUUUGUUGUGAUUGACUCCCCCUCUCUCUGGCUGAUUCCUUUAGCUUUAUAACUGAGGCCAAGUUUGGCAGACUGUGGCUGAUGAGGGUGGGGCAGGGGACAGUAAUAAUAAUCAUUAUUACUAUUAUAUAGCUAACAUGACACCGCACCACACACCACACUCAUGCCUUUGGUGUCCCUCCAGACCUAGGGCCCUCCCUAGAUGGGAACUGAGGCCUGGGAGGUCUCCUGGAUGGACCAGCUGCUGUCCUGAGGUUCAGCAGCACCUGUCUGGAUGGGCCCUCCUCCUCAAUUUAACGCAUACACAGCCAGGAAGAGGCAGACAUGACCUACCUUGUGUCAUCCAGGGCCUUCUGUGGUUGACGCCUGGAGCCCAUGUUUUCCUGUCUAAAUCCACUUUGCUAGUUACAUGCGGUCAACACUGAGUGGCAGGUUUUGGGGGAGGGGAUAUUUGGGUUAGACCAUGAAGGAUGGGGGAGGAUAGUGACAAGUAGAGGCAAGGAAAAAAGUGGGCAUGGGAGGUGGGAGGACCAGCAGGGCUAAAUGCAUGGAGAGGAUCCGGUGGGAUUUGUAUCAGGAAUAGGGGUUGCCCAGUUAGGUGUGAAAGUGGGACAUCAAACUGGGGAAGUCGGCCAGGGCAUGUUGUGAAGGCUGGGCUCCUUGUGACAAAUCUGUGCUCCUCACGGAAGAUCUGACGGUAUUUAAGGAUGAGACUGUAGGGCGCUUUAGACUAGGUUCUCUUUAGGAAUUAGGAAAUGCUCAGGGGCCCAGAGCUGCCAUUGUGGAGAAAGAGCAGAGGAGUGGGAAGGAAUUAGUUGGAAUCUUCACGUGCGUCUCGAUGCCCAGCAAGACAGACGUGUUCUUGCUCGAGUGUGAGCCGAAGGGGCUUUAGCGGAUGGGCAUAGUUCGUGGGUGCUGAGUCAGUGAUGUGCAAGUUGACACGUGCUGCCUGGUCCAGGCUUUCUGAGUUCCGGAACCUGAGUGGAGAACAUGGCUUACACGUGGGGAGCUCCACCCACUGCACGCCCCGCCCCCUUGGGGCCGACUGUCUGGGCUGAUGGCACCACCUUAUGGUCAGAGAGGGAACUGUCUGGCUACACAGUCCUCACGACUCUGCCUGCCUGGAAAGUUCUGAUAUUGGGUCUCCAGCCUUCUCCCCAGUUUCCUUUCCUUUUCUUAGCAAAUCAAUUAAUGCAGAUUUAGCCAAUCUCCUCGCAAUAACAUGCCUUAAUCCCCCCAUCAAAGAGAUCUCUUUCACACUUAUUUUCCCUCUUGCUCCCCUAUCCGUUGCUGUUUUCCUUUGUGAGUCUCAAAUUUACCCUAAUCCUGGCUCCUGUGCAUCAUACCUGUAUGAAGGAAAAUGAAAAAAGGUAUCAAGGUGAAACCGGACAGAAAAAAAUAACAAACUGCUGCUAUCAGGCCUCCCAAAUUAUCUUGCAAGCAGAGGUCUCUCCCUAAAAAGCCUCCAUCUCCCAGCACUUUGGGAGGCUGAGGUAGGUAGAUCGCUUGAGCCCGGGAAUUCGAGACCAACCUGGGCAACAUGGCAAGACCCCGUCUCUACAGAAAAUACAAACAUUAGCCAGACGUGGUGGUAUGUGCUUGUAAUCGCAGCUACUCGGGAGACUGAGGUUCUGGGAGAAUGGCUUGAGUCCAGGAGGUUGAGGCUGCAGUGAGCUAUGAUUGCACCACUGUACUCCAGCCUGGGUGACAGAGCAAGACCCUGUCUCAAAAAAAAAAAAGCCUCUAUCUUUGCUCUUAUCUUUUUUUCAUUAAACUGGUUAUUUCAUUAAAUAUAAUUCAGGAUAAAGGAGAUUAUAUCUUCAAUAUUUGGGUUUGUUUAUUCUUAAUACUAUAACCAAAUUAUAUUCUACUAAUUUAUACCAUAAAAGUGCAGUGCCCAACAACACAAUGAGUUAAGAAGGAUUUUGUGGUGCUGGCCUGUAAACCUAUCAUGUAUAAUAUUGUUUCUUGGAAGAAAAUAUAUUCUGAGUUCCCCAAACAACCAACUUUGGAAGUGUGGGAACACAACGCUUUUGUGAAUUGGGCAUUUCCUCUCUGUCACAGAUCAAUAGUCAAACCAUUCAUGGAUUGACUGGAAAUACAAAAGAAAAAAAAGCAUUAAAAAAACCCCCAAGAGAGUAGGAACACAAUAAACCCAUUUACUGGAAGGAAUAUAAAGUAGUAAACACUGGGCAUCUGACUGUAGUCUGAGUUUUGUUAACGCCUUUCUCUGAAGCCUGAAUGGUAUUCCAGAAGGCCUCUCUGUUUUACAUGGGUCAUAAUUUUUUCUUCCUUGUUGUAUCUUGAGACAAACUCCAGGAGAACGUAUCCCAGGCAAGGGGCUGCCUGGCUUCCAUGGAGAGUACUGGUUGGGCCCAGAGGCAGGCAUUGUGGUGCUGGAAUAGUAUGAUAGAGCUCUCUCUGGGUGGGUUUUAACUUUGGUUGGAGAAUGGUUGGAUGUCAAGUGGCUGAAGGAAGAAUCUUUUUGUGGGGCAGUUUUCUAGGGAGCCACAUUUUGAAAGCUCCAGGAAACGACCAAAUCUAUUAAUGUGAUUUAACUUUCAGUAUGUUAUCAGGGUCCAUCGGACCCAAUUUUAGAUUUUGAAGGUGUUUUUUUUUUUCCUGAGAAAUUCUAACAAUUUGUAAGGAUUGGUAUUUCAUGACUUUUGUUUGUUUUCAGAAGUCUUCUGAAGAUGAAAGAUAACAUCUAGUUUUUAACAAAAAUAGAAUAAAACUCAUUCUAUCUUGAAGUUACCAUAUGACUAUUGAAAUAAUUUAUAAAUUGAUGAUGUAUCAUAGGAUCUUAGAGAUCUUAAUUUUCUUAUAUCUUUAAACAUCUUCCAUUUUAUCACCCUAGAAAUUAUUUCAUCAUUACUCAUCAAUUAUUGCCAAUUAUGGUAAAAAAAAAAAAAACACCAAUAAGAAAUGGGAGAAUCAUGGAAUCACCUAGAAGGAUGAUGCAAGAAUGAAACAAAUUAUCACUGUUGUAUCAUCCUUCAGGUUUUUGAUCACAUUGCCUGAAGUAUUACAUCAUUUCUCGAGAAAGUAUAAAAGAAGACAGAGGAUACCAUUUUUGUAGUCUUCUUCUUCUUACUUUUAUCAAAUAUAGUUGUAAAUUCAGCUAUAUUUUUCAUUUUUCUGCACAAACUGUAAAGAGAAGAAAAGUGACAGAGGAAAAUGUUGUACAGUUAUUAGUCAAAUCAGAAGAUGAAUGCAGAGAGACAGCACUAUGGAAGACUCGAUAAUGGCGAAACUGACUGAAGUGUAUAAGCAAAGUCUCAGACUAUGAGUCCUACAUGAUAAUAACCUAGAUUAAUUUCCUCAGAUUUAAGGAUUCAUGAGUAAACAAUAUAUUUCUAAGGAUAACAAAAAAUAUGAUAUUCUCAUCCUGUUAGUCAUUCAACAGGAAUGAUUUCAUCACACUAUAUUUUGCCGCAAAAACUUGGAGCAUCCUGUUUUGCUAAAAGAAUGGGGGCCAAUUUUUUUUUUUUUUACUUUUUAUGUUUGUUUAUUGAAAUUUUCUUGAUACAGUUUGAAGGGGACAAAUGAUGAAGUCAGAUCAAAGAGAAAAGAAGAUGACCAUCUUCUCCUGAACAAAAUUAUGAACUGUCAGAGGUUUCAAAGGUAAUAAGUUUUAUGAUGCAAGUGGAAGAAGAACCAGAAGUAAUGAUGAGCUAGAACUUAUCAGAGAUUUCCUUGAAAUCAGGACUUGGUGUUUAUAAGAUGGGUCUGUCCCAGGCUUAUGCAUGACAGCUGGUGAGCAGUUAGUUGCAUGCAGAGGACAUUGCUCAUUUUGGGCCUAUCUACACUCAAAACCAGGAAAAUAUGCUGUGAAAAUUUGCUAUUACUAACGUCUCUAAUAAAGUUUUAAAAAAC